rnacentral:rRNA from 1 species
ACGAUUGAUCCUGCCAGUAAUGAUAUGCUUAUCUCGAAGAUUAAGCCAUGCAUGCCUAAGAACUCGUACUAGCACUACGAAUCCGUGUACGGCUCAUUAUAACAGCCAUUAUUUAAGGGAACUAAGAUAUCAUGGAUAACUGUGGUAAUUCUAGAGCUAAUACAUUCCACCUAACUGUGACUCACGAAGCAGUGGAUUUAUUAGAUCAAAGCCAAUCCGUCCUAGACGGUCCUUUGAUGACUCAAAGUAACUUACCUAAUCGUAUGGCCUUUGCGCUGGCGAUGUCCCCCUUAAAGUGGCUGACCUAUCAACUGUCGAUGGUAAGUUAAAGGCUUACCAUGGUUGUAACGGGUAACGGGGAAUCAGGGUUCGAUUCCGGAGAGGGAGCCUGAGAAACGGCUACCACAUCCACGGAUGGCAGCAGGCACGUAACAUGCCCAAUGCUUGAAAAGCGAGGCUGUGAAGAUAAAUAACGAUUUGAGCUCAUAGAGUAUCAUAAUUGUAAUGAGAUCAGUGUAAACAAUUUACCGAGAAACAAUUGGAGGGCAAGUCUGGUGCCAGCAGCCGCGGUAAUUCCAGUUCCAAUAGUGUAUAUUAAAGUUGUUGCAGUUAAAAAGCUCGUAGUCGAAAUUGAGGUGCGUUUUUGUAGUUAUACACUGUAUUUCAGCAUUUGCCACCUUCUGAGUCGUGUACACUAUUAAUGCCUUUUACGAGGUGUUGAUGGCGACCGACAUGUUUACUUUGAAUAAAUUAGAGUGCUUAAAGCAAGCUUUUGCUUGAAUAUUGUUGCAUGGAAUAAUGGAAUAGGACUUUGGUUCUAUUUUAUUGGUUUCGGAACUGAAGUAAUGAUUGACAGAGACAGCCGGGGGCAUACGUACGCUGAUGGGAGAGGUGAAAUUCGAAGAUCAUCAGCAGACGAACAACAGCGAAAGCAUCUGCCUAGAAUGUUUUCUUUGAUCAAGAACGAAAGUCAGAGGAUCGAAGACGAUCAGAUACCGUCCUAGUUCUGACCAUAAACUAUGCCAACUGACGGUUAGCUAAGGCAAUCUUUUACGCCUUGCUAGCAGUCACCGGGAAACUAAAGUCUAUGGGUUCCGGGGGUAGUAUGGUUGCAAAGCUGAAACUUAAAGGAAUUGACGGAAGGGCACCACCAGGGGUGGAGCCUGCGGCUUAAUUUGACUCAACACGGGAAAUCUCACCCGGUCCGGACACUGCAAGGAUUGACAGAUUGAUAGCUCUUUCUUGAUUCGGUGGGUGGUGGUGCAUGGCCGUUCUUAGUUGGUGGAUUGAUUUGUCUGGUUAAUUCCGAUAACGAACGAGACUCUAACCUACUAAAUAGUGCAUGCGUGAACUUCUAUAGCGCAUGGUGACUUCUUAGAGGAAUUAGUGAUGUUUAAUCAAAUGAAAAGGAGCAAUAACAGGUCUGUGAUGCCCUUAGAUGUCCGGGGCCGCACGCGCGCUACAAUGGCAGUACCAGCGAGUUUUUUUCCUAGCCUGAGAGGGUCGGGUAACCUGCUAAUUGCUGUCAUAUCUGGAAUAGUGGUUUGCAAUUAUUCCACUUGAACGAGGAAUCCCUAGUAAGUGCAAGUCACUAGCUUGUGCUGAUUACGUCCCUGCCCUUUGUACACACCGCCCGUCGCUACUACCGAUUGAAUGAUUUAGUGAGGUUAUUGGAUUUGGGUCUAAGUGAUUUACGUUACUAAGAUUCGGAAAAGAUACCCAAACUUGAUUAUUUAGAGGAAGUAAAAGUCGUAACAAGGUUUCCGUAG